AUUGAACGCUGGCGGCAUGCUUUACACAUGCAAGUCGAACGGCAGCGCGGGCUUCGGCCUGGCGGCGAGUGGCUAACGGGUGAGUAAUGCAUCGGAACGUGCCCAGUAGUGGGGGAUAGCCCGGCGAAAGCCGUAUUAAUACCGCAUACGACCUGAGGGUGAAAGCGGGGGACCGAAAGGACUCGCGCUAUUGGAGCGUCCGAUGUCGGAUUAGCUAGUUGGUGGCGUAAAGGCUUAGCAAGGCGACGAUCCGUAGCUGGUCUGAGAGGACGACCAGCCACACUGGGACUGAGACACGGCACAGACUCCUACGGGAGGAAGCAGUGGGGCAUUUUGGACACUGGGGGCAACCCUGUUCCAGCCAUGCCGAGUGCGGGAAGAAGGCCUUCGGGUUGUAAACCGCUUUUGUUCGGGAAGAAAUCCUCUGGGCUAAUACCCCGGGGGGAUGACGGUAACGGAAGAAUAAGCACCGGCUAACUACGUG
rnacentral:rRNA from 1 species